rnacentral:rRNA from 1 species
AUUGAACGCUGGCGGCAUGCCUUACACAUGCAAGUCGAACGGUAACGGGCCUUCGGGUGCCGACGAGUGGCGAACGGGUGAGUAAUACAUCGGAACGUGCCCGAUCGUGGGGGAUAACGAGGCGAAAGCGUUGCUAAUACCGCAUACGAUCUACGGAUGAAAGCAGGGGACCGCAAGGCCUUGCGCGGACGGAGCGGCCGAUGGCAGAUUAGGUAGUUGGUGGGAUAAAAGCUUACCAAGCCGACGAUCUGUAGCUGGUCUGAGAGGAUGAUCAGCCACACUGGGACUGAGACACGGCCCAGACUCCUACGGGAGGCAGCAGUGGGGAAUUUUGGACAAUGGGCGCAAGCCUGAUCCAGCCAUGCCGCGUGCAGGAUGAAGGCCUUCGGGUUGUAAACUGCUUUUGUACGGAACGAAAAGCCUUCUUUUAAUACAGGAGGGUCAUGACGGUACCGUAAGAAUAGGCACCGGCUAACUACGUG